rnacentral:rRNA from 1 species
GAUGAACGCUGGCGGCGUGCCUAAUACAUGCAAGUCGAGCGAACGGACGAGAAGCUUGCUUCUCUGAUGUUAGCGGCGGACGGGUGAGUAACACGUGCAUAACCUACCUAUAAGACUGGGAUAACUUCGGGAAACCGGAGCUAAUACCGGAUGAUAUUUUGAACCGCAUGGUUCAAAAGUGAAAGACGGUCUUGCUGUCACUUAUAGAUGGAUCCGCGCUGCAUUAGCUAGUUGGUAAGGUAACGGCUUACCAAGGCAACGAUGCAUAGCCGACCUGAGAGGGUGAUCGGCCACACUGGAACUGAGACACGGUCCAGACUCCUACGGGAGGCAGCAGUAGGGAAUCUUCCGCAAUGGGCGAAAGCCUGACGGAGCAACGCCGCGUGAGUGAUGAAGGUCUUCGGAUCGUAAAACUCUGUUAUUAGGGAAGAACAUAUGUGUAAGUAACUGUGCACAUCUUGACGGUACCUAAUCAGAAAGCCACGGCUAACUACGUG